AAAAAAAAAAAAAAAAGAAAACAUAGGCUAUGAUGGGUUUUAGUCAUUGUCGAAGGCCUGGAAGGAGGAAAUUUUAUGGAGUUUUAAGAAAUAAAAAAAAAAAGACAGAAUAGGCUAUGGAUGGGUUUUAGUUUUGUUCCCCAUUCUUCUUAAAAACUAAUUGGGCUUUGAAAAUUCUGAAAAUUGGAAAAAGGACAGUUUUUUCCUGAAGGAUAUGCAUUGUUUAAAGCAUGGAGGAAGCAAAUUUUAUUGAAUUUUAAGAAAUGAGAAAAUAAAAAGACAACAUAGGCUAUGGAUGGGAUGUACAUUGUUGAAGGUAUGGAAGAAGGAAAUUUUACGGAAUUUUAGAAAAUGAAAAAAAAA
rnacentral:misc_RNA from 1 species